AACUCUUGACAUCCUCAGAACUCGUUAGAAAUACCUUGGUGCCUUCGGGAACUGAGUGAC
rnacentral:rRNA from 1 species